GUCAGGUAGACCACAAAGUAAAAGUACUUCCUGAAGCUUCAUUAACAGGCCUGCAGGUGACACAGGGACAACAGAUGCCUUCAAAUCCCGCACACAAGCUGUGACAGUGAACGCAUCACUGCACUUUUUUCCCCUACACAACUUCGACCCUCGUGUCUGUUAUAAUCAGCCAAAACGGUGUCAUUAAACGCAACACUUCAACACACACAUUCACUGUCAGCAUCACACACACAAACACACACACACACACACACAGUGAGCUUACCGGCUGGCAUCCUGGUGCUAAUGUACCGCAGUUCCUCCGUAUGCUGAGCACCGAUUGGUCCUGUGUUUGUCAGUUAGCCUCCAUGUAGCUUCUCCCGCUGGCUUCACUUCACCUGGUAUCGGAAUGUAACGUUAAAUCACCUGUUCGCGAGCUGACACGGCACAUUAAACACGCUGUUUUCAGUCUGAACAGUGAGACAUGAAGCGUCUGUAACGGGCUAAAGCUGUCCGCCGUCACACCAACUGACAACCCUGGAGACACUGAUUGUUAAAACAAAACAAGGCAAACGGGAAUUAGCUUGAGAAGCUAACGUGUCUAACGGCUGCGGCGGGUCGUUGGACACACACGGAGACGUUAGUGAGGUGUGUGAGGGACGAGCCGGUGAACAUACCUGUAGGUAAACAGCAGCAGGCAGAUUACCUCCUACACAUUACUACAGUGCUUCCUGCUUUACGGUGACAGACACACAACACGGAAGUGUGUGUGUGUGUGUGUGUGUGUGUGCUGCGGCGGCUCCGACCCCCCCGCUGCUGCUGCUCAACGUACACCGACCGUGGAGGAGCAGGAGACGGCUAAUUAUAGCAGCCCGAGGCGGGGAGAGGUCCACCGUGACCGGACCGCUCUGAAAUAUAAUGUACUUCCUCGACCGUUUACUCCGAGCUGAGGAGGAGGUGACAACAGGUUUCAGUUCACUUCUGUUGUAUUAUUAUGCUGUUUACAAGGUUCAUUAUAAGAGUGCAAGUCAGCAAGAAUGGACUGGGGUGUCCACAUAUUUAUUUAGCGUAGCUCUGCCACAAUAUCCAGCUACAGUUUACAGCUUUGCUCAGCUUUCACUCCUGAGCUGUCGGCAUCGCCUGUAGUUCACUGGGUUGAUCAAACUUCUAUGUUUAGGCCGUUCUUUCUAAAUCUGUACACAGUCAUGAAGUCUUGUUAAUCUCGUUAGGACCACUACGCACGCACACAAAGUUUAACUGAGAAGAACAAAUGUUCCUGCAACAUCACUGAUGAUGGCACAAGAGGAUGUGUUGUCAUCAAGAUCACCAUGAGACCAAAACUGUCCAACAGACAGUAAUUAUCCCAAACUUAACCAAAGUCAUCUCUCAGAGCUGGGGUGUGAAUGUUUGUGAAAGUGUGCCGGUUGUGCUUUUUAAGCUCUUAAGGACCUUUUCUGGGCCGACUGACGGACUUAGAGGUGAUUAAAGGCUUUGGCCCCACAGAUGGCGUGCCCAGCG
rnacentral:lncRNA from 1 species